GCAAGUUGAACGAGAAAGGAUUCUUCGGAAUCCGAGUAAAGUGGCGCACGGGUGAAUAACGCGUAGAUAAUCUAUCCUUGUGUUUGGGAUAACCCUUCGAAAGGGGGACUAAUACCGGAUACAUAGAUACCUGUAGGGGUAUCUAGGAAAGGUGGCCUCUAUUUAUAAGCUAUCGCACGGGGAGGAGUCUGCGUACCAUUAGCUAGUGGGUGGGGUAAGAGCUUACCAAGGCAACUAUGGUUAGCGGGUCUGAGAGGAUGAUC
rnacentral:rRNA from 1 species